rnacentral:miRNA from 1 species
GCAGACACAUUCCAGCCAAUCAGCAGCAGACCCUCCCUCCCACACCCUCCCACCUCCUGGACAGCAUCCAUUGUGAAGCUGCAUUCUUAGUGAGCUGUCCAGGAGAUGGGAGGGUCUGGGAGGGAGGGUCUGCUGCUGAUUGGCUGGAAUGUGUCUG